AACGAACGCUGGCGGCAUGCCUAACACAUGCAAGUCGAACGAGACCUUCGGGUCUAGUGGCGCACGGGUGCGUAACGCGUGGGAACCUGCCCUUAGGUUCGGAAUAACUCCCCGAAAGGGGUGCUAAUACCGGAUAAUGACUUCGGACCAAAGAUUUAUCGCCUUUGGAUGGGCCCGCGUUGGAUUAGCUAGUUGGUAGGGUAAAAGCCUACCAAGGCGACGAUCCAUAGCUGGUCUGAGAGGAUGAUCAGCCACACUGGGACUGAGACACGGCCCAGACUCCUACGGGAGGCAGCAGUGGGGAAUAUUGGACAAUGGGCGAAAGCCUGAUCCAGCAAUGCCGCGUGAGUGAUGAAGGCCUUAGGGUUGUAAAGCUCUUUUACCCGGGAUGAUAAUGACAGUACCGGGAGAAUAAGCUCCGGCUAACUCCGUG
rnacentral:rRNA from 1 species